AUUGAACGCUGGCGGCAGGCCUAACACAUGCAAGUCGAACGAGUGGCGGACGGGAGAGUAAUGUCUGUGAAACGGCCUGAUGGAUGGGGAUAACAAAUGGAAACGGUAGCUAAUACCGCAUACCAUCGGAUGUGCCCAGAUUGGAUUAGCUAGUAGGUGGGGUAAAGGCUAACCAAGGCGACGAUCCCUAACUGGUCUGAGAGGAUGACCAGCCACACUGGAACUGAGACACGGUCCAGACUCCUACGGGAGGCAGCAGUGGGGAAUAUUGCACAAUGGGCGCAAGCCUGAUGCAGCCAUGCCGCGUGUGUGAAGAAGGCCUUCGGGUUGUAAAGUACUUUCAGCUGGGAGGCGUUACCCGCAGAAGAAGCACCGGCUAACUCCGUGCCAGCAGCCGCGGUAAUAC
rnacentral:rRNA from 1 species